rnacentral:tRNA from 1 species
GGGUAGUGGCUCAGUGGUAGAGUGCUCGCCUAGCAAGCAAGAAGCACUGGGUUCGAUCCUCAGCACACA